UACAGAGGGGGCGAGCGUUGUUCGGAAUUACUGGGCGUAAAGGGCGCGUAGGCGGCCAACUAAGUCAGACGUGAAAUCCCUCGGCUUAACCGGGGAACUGCGUCUGAUACUGGAUGGCUUGAGUUCGGGAGAGGGAUGCGGAAUUCCAGGUGUAGCGGUGAAAUGCGUAGAUAUCUGGAGGAACACCGGUGGCGAAGGCGGCAUCCUGGACCGACACUGACGCUGAGGAGCGAAAGCCAGGGGAGCAAACGGG
rnacentral:rRNA from 1 species